rnacentral:lncRNA from 14 species
AUGGACACCUCCCCUGGCCCGUGGAAUCCAGCCCCAGCUUCCAUCAGCAGCCCUACCUUGUUGCUUCCCACCCCUGCUAUCGUCUUCAUCGCUGUGGGCAUCUAUUUGGUGCUGCUGGGCCUGGUGCUGCUGACUAGGCACUGUCUACUGGUGAGGAGCCUGGGGUGGAAGAAAGGGGAGGGAAGGGGAGGAGGAACCUGGUCAUUAGUGUCCCCCUCACCUGCAAGCCUUUAUCUUGGGACACCUUGCAAUUUAGUCAGAGCAUUUGCCCUUUCGUUGGGAGCAGGGGAGUCCUCCUCGGUGACUCCAGUUAACCCUUGUCUUGCUCCUCUCCAGAAAUUAAAGUGGAGAGUUGUCCCUUCCCUGCUGUCUAGCCCAGAUCCUGAGUCUUGUCAUCUCCUAGGCCCAGGGCUGCUGCACAGACUGCAGCUCCCCUUGCAGGAAACAAGGUGCCUCAGAGACCCAAGACUGUUGCUGGAGCUGUGCAGAAGCUUGUGACUUCCCUCUGCCCAGUCCGGGCCACUACCUGGACGCCUGCUGCCCUCAUCCCAGUGAAGCUGUGAGUUCCAUUCUUAACCCAGAUUGCCCCCUCAGACCCAGGUGUGAUCUGGGCCGCCAUUUUCCUUGUUCAGCACAGUUAUUACUGAGCAGUAACCCUAGGCCAGGCACUGUUCCAGGUACUGAGUCAUAGGCCGGCAGCUAAAAGCAACACAACCUAUCAGAUGGUUUCUGGUGAUGAAUGGUACUUGAAAGAAAAGUAAACAUAGGGUGACGACUGGAGAAAGAUGAUUUGCGUGACAAGCCCACAAGCCCACAAGCCUAGUACAUAAUGCGGUACAUAAUUAGGGCUUUUUUUUUCUUUUCUUUUUUUUUUCUUUCUUUCUUUUUUUUUUUCUUCAAGACAUUACAUAGCUCUGGUUGUCUUAGAGCUUGCUACGUCCUUGAACUCACAAAGAUCCUCCAUUUCUGGAGUACUGGUAAUAAAAGUGCAUGCCACCGCACCCAGCCUCCCAGUCAGGACUUCUGAAUGAGGUAGUUAAAACAGGGCUGUGAGUAAAGUGCCUGGCUGUCGGGUAGGACCUGGCUCUGAUCCCAACAAAACACCCUCCAGCCAUUAGGCGAGUGUUCAGUUUGGGGGAACAGCCCUACUGCGUUCAUUCAACAGCCCCACUGCGUUCAUUCACCGUCCUGCUUUUAGAAGUAGCUCUGAGAGCUGAGGAUUUGUUUAAAUCUAACAUUACUUAACUUUUAGAGUUUUGUUUUGCAACAGGGUCUUAUAUAUCAGACUGGCCUUGAACUCCAGAUCUUGCUUCUGUCUCCCAAGUGCUAAGAUUAUACAGUAUGUACCAAAACAUACCUGGCUUGAUUUUCAUUUUUUUCACUUUUAGUGUUUUUUUAAUUUUUCAGUUUUGUUUCUUUUAUUAUUA